AGGACUGCAUAUGAGUUCCCUGUCUGUCCCCUCCAUUUAUUACUGACUUCAGUUGAGCAUAGCAGAGGAGAUGCAUAGGCCAAGUCAUGGACCAACUUGGGCAUACAUGUGAUAUUAUGGGAUGCACCCCAGGCUGUUACACCAGAAAAGAAAAAAGGACCACCAAGUAAUCUUCAUUGUAAUGACAGUGCUUCAAAAGAGACAGUGGUCUUUGUCCCCUGCUGGGCUGCUGUUUUGACUGGAAAAGAGAACAGCACGGAGGACAGAACCCCACAUUGAUGCUGCUAAUAAAAUCCUCUGAGGUAGAUUUAUUACUCCAUGAAAUAAGGCAAAG